rnacentral:rRNA from 1 species
GGGCCCGCACAAGCGGUGGAGCAUGUGGUUUAAUUCGAAGAUACGCGCAGAACCUUACCAACACUUGACAUGUUCGUCGCGACUUUAAGAGAUUAAAGUUUUCGGUUCGGCCGGACGAAACACAGGUGCUGCAUGGCUGUCGUCAGCUCGUGUCGUGAGAUGUUGGGUUAAGUCCCGCAACGAGCGCAACCCUCACUUUUAGUUGCCAUCAUUAAGUUGGGCACUCUGAAAGAACUGCCAGUGAUAAGCUGGAGGAAGGUGGGGAUGACGUCAAGUCCUCAUGGCCCUUACGUGUUGGGCUACACACGUGCUACAAUGGUAUCUACAACAGGAAGCAAGACUGCGAAGUUAAG